UACAGAGGUCUCAAGCGUUGUUCGGAUUCAUUGGGCGUAAAGGGUGUGUAGGAGGUCGGGUAAGUCAGGUGUGAAAUCUCACAGCUUAACUGUGAAACUGCGCUUGAUACUGCCCGGCUAGAGGAUCGGAGGGGGUAACGGAAUUUAUGGUGUAGCAGUGAAAUGCGUAGAUAUCAUAAGGAACACCGGUGGCGAAGGCGGUUACCUGGAAGAUUCCUGACUCUGAAACACGAAAGCCAGGGGAGCAAACGGG
rnacentral:rRNA from 1 species